GACGAACGCUGGCGGCGUGCUUAACACAUGCAAGUCGAACGGAAAGGCCCUGCUUUUGUGGGGUGCUCGAGUGGCGAACGGGUGAGUAACACGUGAGUAACCUGCCCUUGACUUUGGGAUAACUUCAGGAAACUGGGGCUAAUACCUGAUAGGAGCUCCUGCUGCAGGGGGGGGGUUGGAAAGUUUCGGCGGUUGGGGAUGGACUCGCGGCUUAUCAGCUUGUUGGUGGGGGAGUUGCUUACCAAGGCAUUGGCGGGUAGCCGGCCUGGGAGGGUGACCGGCCACAUUGGGCCUGAGAUACGGCCCAGACUCCUACGGGAGGCAGCAGUGGGGAAUAUUGCACAAUGGGCGGAAGCCUGAUGCAGCAACGCCGCGUGCGGGAUGACGGCCUUCGGGUUGUAAACCGCUUUCGCCUGUGACGAAGCGUGAGUGACGGUAAUGGGUAAAGAAGCACCGGCUAACUACGUG
rnacentral:rRNA from 1 species